AUCUCGGUGGUGUGGUGGUAGCAUGAGCCCUUGGUAUGGGUGAAGCGAGGGUUCUACUCCCGCUUGAGGUU